UAUACAGGUCCCAGUGACUCGCGACGAUGAGUUUUUCCUUUUUCUCAAGCAGCGGCGGCGUUUUUUUUUCAUUUCGAACCCUUCCCGAGGCCCCCCGGACGUCCACCUCCUCCCCGUUCUCCUCGCCGCCACCUCCCGCCGGCUCUGCUGUCUCCUUCCUCCCCAUCAUCACCGGUGUCGGCCUUCCCCUGCCAAUCUCCGUCAAGUGCUUUCUUUCCCAGAGAGACCCCGACCUCCUCCCUGUUCUCCUCGCCGCCACCUCCCACCGAUAUCCGCCGUCGCCUUCCUCCCCAUCGUCACCGGCGUCGGCCUUUCCCUCCGAUCUCCCUCAGGUGCUUUGCUUCCCACAGAUCUCCGAGAAAGAUAAAAUGAAAAGAAAAAGAAGAAAAAAGGAAAAAAAAAUUGAUCAAUGGGUCUUGCUCUUUAUUUUUUCCUCUGGGUCUUAAUCGUAUGGGAGGCCCGGAGCGGACGAAUAGGGAUUUUCCGAUAGUCUCUCUCUUCCCCUCCCUUCCUCCCCUGAUCCUCCAUCUGUAGCUCGUGCAAUUCAUCAAAGGUGACCGUCCGGUGAUGGACGGUCAAGAUUUGUAAGUACCCAUCCUCUGGAAACAAGGGGCGCGGCCCACGAUACCUGGGGACGUGUCGGCAAUCGUGGUGUAUGUUAUAAUUUCUCAUCUGAAAAGGGCUGCCUAUCCCUCGGUUUCCGAAACUCCACCACAGUAACUCCUUCCCUUCCUUUCUUUCCCCUCGUCUCCUCAUCAGCCCAGCAUCUCUCUUUUGCUUUUACUUCAUCUAAACCGUCGGCCAAUCAAAUCGCAUCAUCAAUCGUCCUUUCCUGCGCAUCACAUGCAUUCUCAUUGUUCGGGGAAAUGCCAAACUCUAAUAUUUGUGGUGUAUGAAAGCUCCCCUUGGUUCUCCCUCGAGCUGCCCCCUCUUGCGAUGUCCCCGGUGGCCGUUGGAUCUUUCACUGCUCGCUUUGAGAGUGAUGAUGGAGGGUGGAGUGGUUUGAGAUCUGUGCGGUGGUGAUCCAAUGGUAGAUUCACGUGGAGGAAAGGGAAUCCUUCUUUCACGUUGUUACGGUGGUUACCGUGAGCAUCUCGAAUGACAUUUUGAGUUCUUGGGUCAUCAACACAACGGCUCGCCGUAUGAGCUGAGGAGUCCGUCUCCAUGCUGAGUUGAAACGUCCAUAAGGUCUAACCUGUUUAUGAGCUGUCCUUGUCAUCUUAGCCGACUUAUCUCUUCAACACGUGCGACAGCUGUCUAUCCCAAAUAGAUAGCAUCUGACGUAACCAUCUCUCCUGAACUCGUGGGAGCGAUUAAGGGCUCAAUUAUCUCGUCCAGUUUGACAUGUCCAAUGAUCCGGCAAUCUCAGGAUCGUGCAAUUUCACAGCUAACAACUUAGCUGUCCGACAUCCUUCUAUAUAAACAAUCGGAGCCUCGAGGAUCUAGGUCACUCCAGCACCAGCAUUCCUGCAUGAGGAUCAGGUGUCCAUCUUCCGACCUCGACCGAUUUAAGCAGCAACACACGCAAAAGAUACAAUCCGAAUCCUCUCUGUGUUUGUGGAGUAAAUAUUCAGCAAUCGAUGAAAUACAAGGACUUUCGUUGUUUUGUUACAAAUUUGACGUGGUAUCACCGUUACAACGAAUAUUUACUCGUGUUUGCGGAGGCAAUGAUGAUGAAAGCUCUUCAGACCCCUCAGGUGUUUUUUCCUUCUUUUUGAUAACCAUUGCUUGGCAGCUUGGAUGGUCUGUUGGUCUACAGACAACCGCUGCUGCAAUGAUUCAUUUGAGGAAUAGUGCAGGAGGAGGAAAUAUGGAUCAAAGGCGAGUCUGAGCCUCUACUUGCUUGUUCCCAACCUUUUCAUCUUCUAAGUUAAGUAUCCUGUUUAUUUCUCUAUUUUGCUUUUUUUUGUUCAAAAUUUUGUUACAUCCGUGAUUUUUCUAUGAUAUAGUCAUGCAAAUAUGAAGUAACUUUAGACUUUUUUACAUUUUUUUUUACAGGGUGUUGUUACACUGAUAUUUAGCUGUUCUUUUUUGUUCUUAAGAAAAAGGUUCCAUUUCCAAAACACUUUUUUCAAUAUACAAGUCUUUUCUCUAUGAAAAUACAAGUCUAUAUCUAUAUACACUACAUUAAGAAGAGUCCACAUCUCUCCCAGGCCACCAAAUGUCGAAUAUUGGUCCCGUUCUUCUCGUAGCUUUCCCAUCCCCCUCCUCGACGGGGAGCACAUUGGGUGGUGGGUGGUGGAGAGAGAAGAUCAUGAACAUGUGGACAGAUGAGUCGGCGAUGCGCUUGACCAUAGUGAGCAUGGCGAAGACGGAACGACCGUCCAUGGCAAUGAUGGAUGAGGGCAUCGGAGAGGAUGCCGUUGUGGGUUCUGAACUCUCCCUAUAUAGUUUAAAAAAAAAAAAUUGUACAGUGGCCCCCCAUUCACCUCUAUCGUGCCUCCACUUAAAAUGCCACCAGCUGGCAAUCCCCAUCAGAUAGCCCCCCACAUCGUUAUCAUGAGAAUAGAGCCUCAUAAAUUGAAAAUUUUGUACCCACAGAGAAUCCUUUUGAUAAAAAAUCCCUAAUCCUACAAAAUAUCAUGCUUCUACCAAGAUUAAGCUCUCAAAACCUCAAGGAACCAACUCACACCGCCACUACUCGCACAAAAUCUCAUAUACUUGAGAAAAAACCCAAUCGGAACCUAAGAGACCUCUCUAAUCUCUCUCAAGUGCUCUCCUUUCUGAGAGAUCUCUAAAAAAGAUAAUGAAAUGAAAAGAAAAAAAUAAGCGAAAAGAAAAAAAUGAUCAUCUAUGUGGGAAAGGUCUUACUCUUAAAUUUUUUCCGUCUUUCCUUUGUCUUUGUGGAUUUUUCCUAUGUUUUCCCUCAUUUUUCCUCUAUUUUUUCCGUCCUCAAGAAUCCCAACAGGGUAGGAGGCUUGGAGCGGCCAAAUGGGUAAGUUAGAUGAUGGUUGUUUGGGUAUUUCCUUUCUUUUUUCUAUUCUUGGGAGUCACAAUCGGGUGGGAGGCUUGGGGCGGCUCAAUAUCAUCCAAAGAUUUAGGAGUCAAAUCCUCUCAUCCUCUUAAUAAUCAGGUAAAUUCCAAAUCUGAAUGACUUGUAAUUUUAAAUUUUAAAUCAAUGUCAAAUUCUGUAGGAUAUUUCUUGAUGGAUCCUAUUAGGAUUUUAAAAGGAUUGAAUAUAUGCAGAAAACCAUCUAACUAUCAUCAUUAAGCACAUUUUAGUAUCAGAUGCAAAAUUGGCCAUUGCAUUUUUAGGUCUAUGUGUUGUAUUUUAACAUAAUUUUUUUAGAUAAAUUUUAAAAAUUUAUAUGUAAAUGUGUAAAAUAUCUUGAUUUAUUAUAUGCAAAUGAAGAAAUAUUAGAAAAUUUAAAAAAUAAAAGGGAAUGUAUUAAUUAGAUGACCCUAAUUCAUCAAGAAAAGAUUUUUUUUUUGAUUUUUAAUAUUAAAUUUAGAAUUCUAUAUUGAAACAUGUAGAAAUAUUUAAAUUUAUUAUAUGUGGUCCGACAAACAUCCAAAGAUUGACAUAAAUAAAGUUGUAUGAAAUUGAAAUGUAUAUAUGCGUAUUUAGUUUAAAAAAUUGAUAAUUAGAAAAAUAAACUUAAAAUUAUGGAUUACAUUUGCUGAUUGAUUUUAAGGUUUAAUAAUAAAUAAUUUAUUUAUGGGCUUGAAUCUAGUUAAGGCAUAUUGCGUUGGACCAAUGUAGUGUUAUCCUACAGAUUGGGCUCAAAAAAUCAAUAAUCAAGACUGGAUUAAAAUAUGGAGUUCAUUUUUUCAAAUCCAGUUUGGAUAUAUUAUUGGUUUAACUAAGGGUCAGUUUAGGGUUGGAUUGACAUUGGAAAAAUUAAAAUAGAAUGAUUUUGCAUAUUGUGUUUAUAUGAAAAGGGUUAUUGCAAGUACUUCAUUUUCUUUUUAUCUUUAUUGAAUACUAUUUUAGGGUGUUGAUGCAUUUAUGUUAUUCGUAUGUUUGUAUUUUGCAUUAAAAACUUCUAUAUAUUUUGUGCUUAGAGCUUCUGUUCUAGCUUCGAUUCGAAAAGAAUGUUGUUGGAUUUCAUUUGUGACAGAUCCAAAUGAUGGAAUAAUGAUAAAAAGAUUAUGUAGGUGGUAAUUUAAUUUUUAAAUAUUAUCAUUUAUUUUUUUAAUUAUUUUUUAUUAGAAACCUUUUCAAUUUUAAUAUUUUAUAAAAUUUUUUGAUGUUUAUAUUUUCAAUUUAAAUAAAGAGGUUAUGGAAGAUGAAGAUAAGCAUGAAUAUAGAUUCAUUAAUUAAUAAAUUCCACCGUGGAUAACACGCCAUGCUACCCCUUGUAUUUCACCGAUUCCUGAUUGUGCGCUACCCACCAUGCAUAUGCUCUGGGAUUUGCCUUGGUUCACUUGGACCUGGUGCAUGCAAUAAUUUCUCCUCAUGGACACCCAUCUCUUCUCCGCUCUUCUCGCCACCACCUCCUACCAGUCUCUGCCAUCGUCUUCCUCCCUCUCAUCACCGACAUCGGCCUUCCCCCUUCCAAUCUCCCUCAGGUAUUUUUCUUUUCACAGAUCUCCAAAAAAGAGAGACGUCGACCUCCUCUCUGCUCUCGUCGCCGCCAUCUCCUAUCGGUUUGCAUCAUCGCCUUUCUCCCCAUCGUCGUUGGCAUCAGCCUUUCCCUUCACAGAUCUCCAAAAAAGAGAAAGAAAUGAAAAGCUCCCCUCCACUUCCUAUGAACCAAAUGAGUCCGUGGGGUUGGCGGCUCGCUUGGUGCUCCCUUGAGCUGCCCCCUGUUACAAUGCCCCUGGUGGCUACUGGAUCAUUCACUGCUUGCUUUUAGAUCUGUGCAGAUGGAUGGAUGAUGGAGGUCGGAGUGGUUUGAGAUCUGUGUGGCGGUGAUCCAACGGUGGAUUCACGUGGAGGAAGGUGAUAUCUUCGUUCCCAUGAAAGAUACAACCCGAACCCUCUCUAUGUUUGUGGAGGCAAUGAUGAUGAAAGCUCUUCAGACCUCUCCGGUGUUUUUUCCUUCUUUUUGUUAAACAUUGCUCGGCAGCUUGGAUGGUCUGCUGGUCUACAGACAACCGCUGCUGCAAUGAUUCAUUUGAGGAAUAGUGCAGGAGGAGGAAAGAUGGAUCAAAGGCGAGCCUGAGCCUCUACUUUCUUGUUUCCAACCUUUUCAUCUUCUAGCCCAUAUGUCAUUUGUUAAGGUAUGAAAGCUUGGGUUGGUGACUUGGUGCUCCCCUGAGUUGUCCCCUCUUUGUUAUGAGCUGAACUAAAAUUCUAUAGAGUGCCCUCUAUAGUGAUGGUUGUCUACCAGUUAAUGAACUGGAGAUCAUCCGAACUCGGCUCUUAAACCUCAUACUUCUCUCUAAGUAUGUCUUGUUCUAUCUUUUGUCUGGAGGCAGUGAUGAUAAAGCUCUUUCACAUUCCUCCCUUAUUUUUUUUUUGUGGCUAUUGUGAGGUUGCUUGUAUGGUCUGCCACUUCACAGACAACCUCUACAGCCAUUUGUGAACAAAGAAUGCAGAAGUGGGAUGAUGGAUCAAAGGUAAAUAUGAGCCUCUCUCACUUGUCCCUAUCCUUUUUAUGUUCUGAGAUCAGCACCCUGUUUAUUAUUCCAUUCAUUAUUCCUGAAAUACUUCUUUUUCUUGAUGAUAUUUGUGUUUUGAAAUUAUGCAAAUCGGGAGUGAUCUGUUGAAGUUUUUUUUCCUCGUGGAGUUUGCAAUGUUUUUGUAGGGUUGUCACAAUGAUAUUUGUCUUCUUUAUCCUCGGAAUUGUCACUACAUUCCAAUUGUCAUCAAAUCCUCUUUUUGAAUAUACAAGUCUUUUACUUUCUAACAAUUUAAGAUAACAGAAUGGUUGAAAGAGAACCUUAGAAAUCAUGCCAUAACAAAUGCCAAUGGGAAAGUAGUCUUGGACAUGAAAGAUACAAUGUGGCAACAAGUGAAGUGGAUAUUUUAAAGCAACAUAAAGAAAAGAUAAAACAGGAAAAGAAACUUUAGUCUAAUUAAGCUGAAUUUUUGCCAACCCCUAAACUUAAUUGAUGUGGUGCUGGGGCAUCUUUCUUUCUGUGUGCAAUUCAACAAGUAGUCUGGAAAUGGAUAGCCAGGAUUCUUAAGAAGCUCUUUGGGAAGAGGGUGUGGGCUCAUUAUAACAUUGAAAGAUCAGUGCCUGAGAUACUAGUAUUUUGUUCCUAUUUGGGCUCUGAACCUAAUGCUUAUUGGGGGAUUUAUUUUUAUUUAAUCAGGGUGUUGCCUUUUUCUUAUCUUUCAAGAAAUUUUUUAUUAUGGCUACCACUCAAAUAGCAAUAAAAUUAUUUUUUUGUUCAGUAAAAGAAAUCUUAUUAUUCGUGAAAAUUUCAGAUCGCAAGUUAUCUUGAACAAAAAGCAUUUAUUAUUUCAUGACAAGCAAUAGUAUUAUAGUACUUAAAAACAAGAAAUUUCAACAACAAAAUAUUCAUCCAUGUAUUUUAAUAGUAACAAUAUGGCAAUAAUGCGAUAUAUAUAGUUUUAGAAAAUAAAAAGAUUAAAACCAAGGAAAGAAAGCUAAUUCUGAUUAAGUAUGUCGUUUCAUUAACCGUGUUAAAAAUAACUCGAAUGUGGACCAUAUUUAGAUGGUUCUUGUGUCCAUGUAGUGUAUGCAAUUCAUCAAAGAUUGGGAUGGUUGAGAUUGGCAAGCAUCUAUCCGUUGGAGAUGAGAUGCGCGGUCAACGAGACCUGACAUCAAUAAUGGGAUGUGUUGAGUCUUGUAAAUUAUAAUGGUGUAUUUGAAAAGAGCUGCCUUUCUCAUGAUUCUGAAGCUCUACCAGUCCCAAAUUAGGAAAAAAAAAGACAAAUGCCGGGUCUCGGUAGCAUGUUUCUUUUGUUGCAAUUUGUAAAGUCCAUUCUUUUCUCAAAUAUAACUGUUGAUAUUGGUCAAUAAUUAUUUGUGAAAAAUUUAUUAUUUCAUAUCGAUGAUAAAUUUAUGUUUUAAGUUAAAAAAGGCAUUUUGCUCUAAAUGUGGAAAAAGGCCGAGUAUUAAUAGAAAUCUUCUUCUUGGCCUCUUCCUUUCUCCUCUUCCUCCUUGUGACAGGCAGUUUUUGUUUUAAUAUUUCGGGUGUGGUUCUUUUCCAUUGUACAGUGAGAAAGCUCUUUUUCGAAAGGUUAGAUAUUUUCUUCUUUGUGUAGUUUACUUUGUUUAUCAUGCUUGUGAGGUGGUUUUGAUAUUAUUUUCCAGUAAAUUGCUUAGUACAUGUUGUUUGACAGUGGCUAUUUUCCAUCAAAUACUGGACCAAAGAAAGAAUAUUCCUGAAAAUGCAAGUUGUAACUUGGAUGGCCUGUUGAUGAAGAGGCAACUGGUUGCGAUGGGAUUGUUCAUUUGUACUUUGUGGGAGCCGCAUGGCAUCACUCUUUUAGCACACUCCACUUGGGUUUCCCUCACAAUGCAUCUUCCCUUUCUACUUUCACUUUCAUCCUUGCUAGCUUUUUUGCUUUUGCUCUAUAUCAACCAUUGGCCAAUCAAACUCAAUGGAUCAUCAAUCUAUCUGUCAAGAACAUAGUAUGCAUUCUGAUUGUUGGACGAAAUGCCUAACUCUAAUAGUUUGUUGAGGUAUGAAAGCCCAAGAAAUAAAUAUAGGGUUAGUGGCUUGGUUGGUGCCCCUUAGCGGGUUGUAUCUUUUGGGCAAAAAAAUAUAGAGUUUGAAGCGCUUUGAGAUCUAUCUUGAUGUUGCGAAAAAAAGAUCAAUCAUUCUUUCGUGUGAAAGAUACAACCUGAACCCCCCAGAGCUACCCCAUUUUAUGCUGCUGAUUCCUUCGCACCCAUCUAGGGCUGAAACGGGAUGAGAUACGUAUUGGAUACUAGUAUAUCCAUAUCCAUAUUUGUUUUAUUUGAUGAAUACGAAUAUGGAUACAGAUGUUAGUCGGAUGCAAUAAAUUCAUUCCUAUAUUUCUUUUAGAUGGAUGCACAUAUACAUAUUAGAUACAAAAAGUAUGGAUAUAAAUAGGGAUAUAAGUCGGAUAAUUAAACCUUAUGACUAUACAAUCAAUGUUAUUACUAAAUGGAUAAUAAAUCAAAUUAAUAGUAUAUUAAUGUGGUUAUAUAUUUUCCUUGAAAGUUCAUGAGUGCUGUAUAAAAUUAAAUAGAGUUAUAUAUAGAAUUGGAUAUUCGGAUACGGAUUUGAUAGUUGUCUAUCCCUAUCUGUUUUUCUUUGAUGGAUAUAGAUACGGAUAUUAAUUGGGUGCCCUAAUUUAUAUCCAUAUCUACAUUGUUUCGGAUAUAAAAACGGCUUUGGAUGGAUAUUAUCCGAUCCACUUUCACCCCUACAGCUGGGGGCUGUUGGAUCAUCCAUUGCUUGCUUUAAGAUCUUCGUGGUGGGUGAUCCGAUGGUGGAUUUACUCCAAGGUAGGUGAAAGCUUGACUUGACUCCACUUGAGUGAAUCUUCACUAUAUUGGCUAUUGUUUUUGCCCAUGCAGCAAUGCUCGUUUACAAUGGUGGCAGCGUGCUUGGAUGGUCUGCUACUUUGCAGGCAACCACUGCAAUCCAUUCAUUGAGAAAAGUGAUGUGACUGCAAUAUUUGACAGACCAAAAGUGAAUCUGAGCCUCUGCUUCUCCCAUUCUUUCUUCUUUCGGAACUAAGCCCUUCUUCGCUGGUCUACUUCUUUUUCAGAAUUUUCAUUUUUAAAAAUUUUUCAAUGUUCAAAUUAUUUAUCUGAAAUGAUUUGUACCCUAUUGGUUUCUGUUUCUUCUUUUUCUUGACGUCGAAGUUGGAUCCUAACUUGACUCUUUUGCGGCUCUUAUGUCAUUUGUUGAGGUAUGAAAGCUCCAGGGAGAAAUAAAUAAGGGUUGGUGACUUGGUUCUCCCCUGAGUUGCCCCCUCUUUGUUAUAAUAUGAACCAAAAUUCUGUAAAGUGCCAUCCAUGGUGAUGGUUGUCUCCCAGGUUAUUCAACUGUGGAUUCGUGCGGAGGAAGGUGAAUCCUUCUUUCACACAAAACAUACAACCGGAACCCUCUCUGUGUUUGUGAAGGCAAUGAUGAUGAAAGCUCUUCGGACCCCUCCAGUGUUUUUUUUUCUUUUUUUGGUAACCAUUGCUUAUCAGCUUGGAUGGUCUGUUGGUCUACAGACAACCGCUGCUGCAACGAGUCUUUUGAGAAAUACUGCAGGAGGAAAGAUGGAUCAGAGGCGAAUCUGAGCCUCUAUCUACUUGCUUGUUCCCAUUUCUUUCAUCUUCUAAGAUAAGUAUUCUGUUUUUCUGAAAUUUUGUUUUGUUUAUGAUUUUUCUACAAUAAAGUUAUGCAAGUAUGAAGUAACUUUAGUAUUUUUUUUUUUAACAUUUUUUUUAUGGGGUUUUGUUACAUUGAUAUUUAGCUUUUCUUUUUUGUUCGAAAAAAGGGUUCAAUUUCACUGCCACCCAAAAUGAUAAGAAAUUCCCUUUUUUCAGUAUUCAAGUCUUUUCUUUGUGAAAAUUAAGAUCAAAAUAUGGUGGAAAGACAGGGUUAUUUUGGAAAUCAUUCCAUAGCAAAUUGUAUUCCAGUUCCACAAGAUUUUAACCUAAAACAUAGAAUAAAAUAAACUAAAUAAAUAAAAUAAUUACUAACAUGCCAUGCUGAUUUUGUGCUGACAAUUUAUUGAAGCCACAUCUACAGAUUUUCUUGUCCAUAGCUACUGCUAACCAUUAAAACACAGAAUUUAGAAAACUACUACUAUGUUUUUUUUUUUGAUUCCCAUUUGUAAUGACUGAUAUAUACAUCAAAAAGAAGUGAAGAAAUUGUUUUUUUAAACUGAUUACAAGUUAAAAUUACACCAGCCACCUCAAUCAAACAUUGGUUUCUCUGAUUCAGAGCAUGAUUUCUACUCAACCUUUCCAAACAAUUAGACCACCUCCUAUCACACAAAGCUAAUGUUCAGCAAGUCAGGAAAAGGACAUGUUAAACCAUGAGCCUUGAGAGUUGAGUCUCUGUCUCUCUCAUUCUAUGGUGGCCGAUGCAAGCUAUGAUGACAUGCAUUUGGACCUUGGAGUUGACUAGCGUGAGAAAGGCCUUGUUUUCAUCCAUCCACAUGACAAUUCAGAAAGGUGGAACUUAGCCUAGUUUAAGUCUCACAUCAUGGAUUUGGUAUCAUAUUCAUAUUAUCAUAAGAAUGGAACUCCAUAAAUUGAAAUUUUGGGAGCGAAAGAAGAAUUCUUUAGAUCAAAAAUCCCCCAAAGCCCACAAGAUAUCAUGAUUCUACCAAAGAUUAAGCUCUCAAAACCUCAAGGGACCAACUCACAAUGCCACAACUCACACAAAAUCCCAUAUGCUUGCGAAAAAACCCCAAUCGGAACCUAAGAAACCCCUCCAGUCUUGCUCAAGUGCUCUCCUUUCCCACAGGUCUCCAAAAAAGAGAAUGAAAUGAAAAGGAAAAGGAAAAAAGAUCAAUAUAUGUGGAGAAAGGUCUAACUUUUUAUUUUUUCCAUCUUUCCUUGUGUUUUCCCUUGAUUUUUCUUCUGUGAGUCUCAAUUGGGUGGGAGGCUUGGAGUGACUGAAUAUGGAAGCUUAGAUGAUGGCUAGGUUUUUGUGUUCGAUUUUUAUAUAUAAGAGUUUAAAGGGUAUAAAUAUAUUAUCGAUCAAUCUAAAAGCAGUUGUUGACUAUAGCUUAUUUGUUAAGGUUUUGGGUAGGCCAUCUAAAGAUUUGCAUGUAUGUAUGUGUGUGUGUGUGUGUAUGUGUGUGUGUGUGCGCGCGUGUGCGUGCAUACGUGCAUGUGCAGAGAGAGAGAGAGAGAGAGAGCUUGACUUGGCUCCACUUGGAUCUUCACCAUAUUGGUCACUGUUUUUCCCAUGCAGCAAUGCUUGUGUACAAUGGUGGCAGGCAGCUUGGAUGGUCUGCUGCUUUGCAGGCAACCAGUGGCAAGCCAUGCAAUGAGAAAAGUGAUGUGACUGCAAUAUCUGAAAGGCCAAAAGUGAAUCUGAGCCUUUGCUUUUUCCCAUCUUUCUUCUUUUGGAGCAAGCCCUUGUUCACUUGUCCACCGCUUUUUCAGACUUCUCAAUUUUUUUUUCAAAAUUUUUCAAUUUUCAAAAUGUUUAUCUGAAAUGAUUUGUAGUUUAUGUGUUUGUAUUUCUUUUCUUGAUGUCGAAGUUGGAUCCUGACUUGACCUAACCCAUUUGCAGCCUUAAUGUCAUCUGUUGAGGUGUGAAAGCUCCGGCGAGAAAUUUAAAUAAGGGCUGGCGAGUUGGUGCUCCCCCGAGUUGCCCCCCUCUUUGUUAUAAGAUGAACAAAAUUCUAUAGAGUGCCUUUGAUGGUCAUGGUCAUCUUCGAAGUCACGAAUUGGAGAUUGUCUGGACUCAGCUCUUAAACCCCAUACCUCUCUCUAUGUAUGUCUUGCUCUUUCUCUGGAGGCAGUGAUGAUGAAGCUCUUGUAGAUUCCUCCAGUAUUUUUCUUUUGUGACUAUUGUGAUGUAGCUUGUAUGGUCUGCCACUCGACAGACAACCUCUACGGCCAUUUGUGGACAAAGAAUGCAGAAGUGGGAUGAUGGUACAAAGAUGAAUCUGUGCCUCUCCCCACUUGUGUCUGUCCUUUUUAUGUUCUGAGAUAGAUAAUCUCCAUAUGAUUCUUGGCAGAUGAAGAUUUUGGCACUUGAUUCUUGUGCAUGUAUCUUCAUAUUGCAUCAGAUAAUCCUGCAUCUGAUUUAUGGAUAGGUCAUACAUGGUUGAUGAAGAUUUUGGCACAUGAUUCUCAUGCAUGAUUCUUGGAUAUGUCAUAAAAAGCAGUGAUUCCUCGGAUAUGGAGGAGGACAAAUGAGUUGGGAGAGAGAGCAAAGAAGGCUAUGGAGAAGGAUGGCUUUGAUCCCACGAGGA